rnacentral:rRNA from 1 species
UACGUAGGGGGCAAGCGUUGUCCGGAAUUAUUGGGCGUAAAGAGCGCGUAGGCGGUCCGGUAAGUCGGUUGUGAAAGUCGGGGGCUCAACCCUCGGAUGCCGAUCGAUACUGUCGGGCUAGAGUCCGGAAGAGGCGAGUGGAAUUCCUGGUGUAGCGGUGAAAUGCGCAGAUAUCAGGAGGAACACCUAUUGCGAAGGCAGCUCGCUGGGACGUCACUGACGCUGAGACGCGAAAGCGUGGGGAGCAAACAGG